rnacentral:rRNA from 1 species
UACAGAGGGGGCAAGCGUUGUUCGGAAUUACUGGGCGUAAAGGGCGCGUAGGCGGCCUUCUAAGUCGAACGUGAAAUCCCCGGGCUCAACCCGGGAACUGCGUCCGAUACUGGAAGGCUUGAAUCCGGGAGAGGGAUGCGGAAUUCCAGGUGUAGCGGUGAAAUGCGUAGAUAUCUGGAGGAACACCGGUGGCGAAGGCGGCAUCCUGGACCGGCAUUGACGCG